rnacentral:rRNA from 1 species
AGAGGUGGCGAGCGUUGUUCGGAUUUACUGGGCGUAAAGGGUGCGUAGGCGGUUUCGUGUGUCGGGUGUGAAAUCUCACCGUUCAUCGGUGAAACUGCACUCGAGACUACGGGACUAGAGUACAGGAGAGGAGAGCGGAAUUCUCGGUGUAGCGGUGAAAUGCGUAGAUAUCGAGAAGAACGCCGGUGGCGAAAGCGGCUCUCUGGACUGAUACUGACGCUGAGGCACGAAAGCUGGGGGGGAGCAAACAGGAUUAGAUACCCUGGUAGUCCCAGCCGUAAACGGUGUGCACUUGGUGUGGGUGGCUUUGUCCCCCCCCCAUCCGUGCCGUAGCUAACGCGUUAAGUGCACCGCCUGGGGUACGGCCGCAAGGCUA